CCGAGAUUGACCCUUCAUUUUAAUUAAGACUGAUGCAGUUAUAUUACAUUUGUGCCCAACUGCUUCAAACCACCAGCCAGAUCCCCAAACUACUGAAACCCAGAUCAGCACCGAUAGAAUAGGUGAUAAAGAACAUCGACUGGUCAGAGCAGAUACUCACUCAGACAUUCAGGUGUCAACAGUCUGCAGCUCUGGUCCUUAUACAGAUUAUCAAACACAUUGUACAGAUCUUGGUAAAAACAUUCAUGCUCUCCAUGCAGUUUCACUGCUCUAAUACAAAUCCUCUGCCUCUGGUAACAGAUUUACAUUUAGGCACUUUACAAUCAUUUGAUUUAUUUCAUGAAUGAAAGUCGGGUUAAAGAUAUAAGGACAGUGGUGAUGGUCAUGUUUUCCACAAGUUCAUAGUCAUCAAAAAUCUGUUUUUUAAACAAGAGAAAAUGCAGACAACCCUUUCAUCUCUUGACAGUUUGAUAUUUCUAUACAAAGAGAUGUUUCUCUCUUUUCCCAAACACUCUUUAAGGUCUGAAAAAUCAGCAGCAAAUCCACGAGUUCAAAACAAGUUGUUUUACAUCAGUUCAUUUUGUUUUACACAGGACUCAAAUAUCUAUCAUCAGUUAUAGAAGUUCCAAAUAAGCAUUGAAUCAUAAGGGAAGAAAAUGCAAAAGAUUCCAAAAUAAUAUUCACCAUUAAUGCAAGCUACUGAAAUGUGCAUGAAAACUCUUUUUUUAACCUAAUGAUUGAGAACAUUAGCAUUCUAGAAAAUAAAAUGAGGUAUGAUAAUUACAGUGUUCAUAGAUAAACUGAAAGUUAUUCUAUCAUCUGUCUUUAGCAAUUUUACAAAUGCACACACCAGGCUUGAAAAAUAAUAUCAGUGCAUUAUAUGCCUCUUCAACACUCAGCGGCAGAAAUACUCCACAGAGAAAGAAAGAGAUUAAGAGAUAUGGAGAAAGAGAGAAACUUCACAGUUGCUGCUAAUUGAAGCUUCUAAAUGAAUGAGUUUUGGUUGUGGCCCUCCUGCACCUCCCUCAGGCUUUAUUCUCCUUCUGGCUGUUUCUGUAACACCUCCAUCCCCCAACUCACUCCCAAUAUCAUUGUCUCUCUUUCUUUCUCUGUAGGUUCGCAUAAAGACACAAAUACAGGUCAGUCUGAUCCAAAACAAAUGAGAAAGGAAGAUACUAGUGGAGGAACCAUUCUGGAGGAACCAUUCUUUCAAACGAAACACAAAUCAAAAGAUCUCAGACUAGUGACCCCAAUGACUGAAUUCCAAGUCAGGCUUGGCUUGUGUGAAAUAGGUUUUUUGUUGUUUUUCUCUCUCAAAUCAAAGCUUCUGCAGUCCUUGAGUUCAUAUCUAGUGUACUGUACGAAGGACUUCAGACAGUUGGACUUCAGAUGGGCCAGUUCAAUUUCCCCAGAGAGCUCAUAACUCU
ensembl:lncRNA